rnacentral:rRNA from 1 species
UACGUAGGGUGCGAGCGUUAAUCGGAAUUACUGGGCGUAAAGCGUGCGCAGGCGGUUUUGUAAGACAGGCGUGAAAUCCCCGGGCUCAACCUGGGAAGUGGCUGCGAUCUGUGCAAAAGCCUAGAGUGCGGCAGAGGGGGAUGGAAUUCCGCGUGUAGCAGUGAAAUGCGUAGAUAUGCGGAGGAACACCGAUGGCGAAGGCAAUCCCCUGGGCCUGCACUGACGCUCAUGCACGAAAGCGUGGGGAGCAAACAGG